AUGGGCAAAGGAGACCCCAACAAGCCGUGGGGCAAGAUGUCAUCGUACACCUUCUUCAUGCAGACGUGCCACGAAGAGCACAAGAAGAAGCACCGGACUCCUCCGUCAACUUCGCCGAGUUCUCAAAGAAGUGCUCAGAGUGGUGGAAGACCAUGUCUGCAAAGGAAAAGUCCAAGUUUGAAGAUAUGGCCAAAAAUGACAAAGCUCACUAUGACAGGGAGAUGAAGAACUACGUUCCUCCCAAAGGCGGCAAGAAAGGAAAGAAAAAGAUCCCAAUGCUCCUAAAAGGCCCCCGUCUGCCUUUUUCCUGUUUUGUUCAGAACGCCCAAAGAUCAAAAGUGAAUACCCCGGCCUAUCCAUUGCGGAUACUGCAAAAAAAUUGAGUGAAAUGUGGUCUGAGCAGUCAGCCAAAGAUAAACAGCCAUACGAACAGAAAGCAGCAAAGCUAAAGGAAAAAUAUGGAAAGGAUAUUGCUGCAUACCAUGCCAAGGACAAAAGUGAAGCAGGGAAGAAAGGCCCUGGCAGGCCAACAGGUUCAAAGAAGAAUGAACCUGAAGAUGAGGAGGAAGAGGAAGAAGAUGAAGAAUAAAUGGCUAUCCUGUAAUGAUGCGUAUGGAGUAUGUGUGUAUGCUCAGGCAAUUGUUUUGCUAAGAAUGUGAAUUCAAGUGCAGCUCAAUAUUAGCUCAGUAUAAGAGCUGUACAGAUUUUUGUAUAGCUGAUAAGAUUCUUUGUAGAGAAAAUACUUUUAAAAAAUGCAGGUUGUAGCUUUUUGAGGGGCUACUACACACAGUUAGAUUUUAAAGCUUCUGAUGUUGAAUGUUCCUAAAUAUUUAAUGGUUUAAUUUCUUGACUUGUGUAUGGUAGCACAGCAAACUUGUAGGAAUUAGUUUACAUAGUAAGUUUUGGGUUUUUUAGGAUCUUGCAUUUUGUUUUUUUAAAAAUAUUUUGUAAUAAAAGUAUGUAUAUUAAAAAAA